AAUAGAUACCCAGGUAGUCCACCCCGUAAACGUUGGGAACUAGUUGUGGGGUCCUUUCCACGGAUUCCGUGACGCAGCUAACGCAUUAAGUUCCCCGCCUGGGGAGUACGGCCGCAAGGCUAAAACUCAAAGGAAUUGACGGGGACCCGCACAAGCGGCGGAGCAUGCGGAUUAAUUCGAUGCAACGCGAAGAACCUUACCAAGGCUUGACAUACACCAGAACACCCUAGAAAUAGGGGACUCUUUGGACACUGGUGAACAGGUGGUGCAUGGUUGUCGUCAGCUCGUGUCGUGAGAUGUUGGGUUAAGUCCCGCAACGAGCGCAACCCUCGUUCUAUGUUGCCAGCACGUAAUGGUGGGAACUCAUGGGAUACUGCCGGGGUCAACUCGGAGAAGGUGGGGAUGACGUCAAAUCAUCAUGCCCCUUAUGUCUUGGGCUUCACGCAUGCUACAAUGGCCGGUACAAAGGGCUGCAAUACCGUGAGGUGGAGCGAAUCCCAAAAAGCCGGUCCCAGUUCGGAUUGAGGUCUGCAACUCGACCUCA
rnacentral:rRNA from 1 species